UACCACCCUACGACUGCGAUCAGAUGUGGUUAGCUUCUACCGUUCCUUCCUAGAGUACUGGAUGGAGCCCCUUUGUGCUCAGGCAUUGUACACCUACGGUGAGGAAUUUGCUGGUUCCAUGAGCAGUGUGGAGUUGGUUGAUUAUUUCUUGACCGAUCUCUCGAAACCCGGAGUGUGGGGUGGCGAGGAGUCACUGCGUGCAAUUUCCCAAUUGCAUAAUUAUGCGAUCCAUGUUUUCCGCGAGAACUCUGAGAGAUCAGAGCUGAAUGAGGGGGCGGACGAUCGAUUGCGGAUUAUUCACCGUCUGAAUGUGGUUGGCGAAUACACCCAUUAUGACAGUAUUCUUGCGUUCCAAUCAGGUAAAAACAUAUUUAAAUUGAAUUUCCUGGUUAUUAAUUACAUGCCGUUUGUAGGAAGGAGUCACUCGCCUUCACUUCCUGGAGACUUCUCCACCUACACCUGGAUGUGACCUUUCACUUUCCAAUGGAAAUCCCCCGUUCCCAGGAGGUGUAACAGCGACUUCCCCGGACUUGCGUGCUGCCGCUCCAGCUUCCUUUGGUUGCUCUACUUCUGGGCGAGUUAGUAUGCCAUCCGGUUGUAAUCGCACGUCAUUCCACUAACCUCUUAUACCGUCUUCGCCUAGCUUCUCAAACAGUUCCGAAUCUACCUUCAGCCGUUCUUCCAUCAUCGGGCACCAGCAUCCUGUCAACACAUCGUGUCAUCACUCCAGACUUUUGCGAAGCUGUGCCAGAAUCACUUGGACCUGCAACCGCCUGUCCAGCGCCCACGCCUACAGGUAACUUCUUGGCCAUUAAUCUACUGACAAUUAAUACUGCCGUUUACAGGUUCGUCACCAUCUCCUGAACCAUCGCCAGCCCAUCUACCGAUGUCAGGCAUACGUGCUAUUCAUGAACUCCGUCUCGUCACUUCCGAUCCGUACGAGCCUCUUCUCACUCCCGCUUCAGCCAUUAUCGGUGAUACUCCGCCUCCCGCUUCUCGUAACAACAUGUUCAGUGUUUGCACCUGGAACGUUUCCGGAUGUUCCGGCGAGGCUGAUCGGGAUACCGUUGACCUCAUUUUGUCGCGUAACCACAUACAAGUAGCUUGUCUGCAGGAGACCCGAAUGGCCACCUGCACUGCUCGGACUGCCGACUAUGACUGAUUCAAUGUUAACUCCCUAGUUGACGCGGCUCUUCGGAUGGGCGGUGGCACUUCUGUUGUCGUUCGUCGUUCUCAACUGCAUGGCUAUUUUUUUUCUAAGAGUUUCUGCCAAUAUUUGUUAUGUUCGAUUGCGAAUAUUUGAUGACGAUCUAACUAUCUUCACUGGUUGGUUACCGGGAUCUGCUUGAUGCUGAUAAGCGUUAUGUUGGACGAUAUUUGUACCAUCCUUGGAGUAACGGCAACGGGGAGAGCCUUAAAGAUUUCAUUUCUUGGAUUAUGCUUGUGCAGCUCAUUCGGUCCCAACGAGAGUGUGUUGCGCACCUGGAGUCGGGGUAGCAGUCGCUCACAGAUCGAUCAUAUUGUGAUGCCGAUCAUUCCGCGCUUCGGAAAUCCGCAGUGCCGCUGCAUUGAGCCAGUUUCAGGUUUCUCUGAUCAUCGACUUUUGUUGUUGAGAGUUAAACGUCGUUAUGUUCGUGUGCCCGUUCCUCAUGCUGUUUUGGCUUCUGAAUCAAAUUUAUGCCAGAGGCGCACCCGCUAAAUCAACGUGAACCUGCUCAAAACUAGCGACGAGGUUAAGAAACGCUACCACCAACUGCUGUCUGUCAAACUGCAAGCACUCAAUCAGCCUCGAGAUAGUUUGUCUGUCGCAAAUCUGCUAGACCAUGUCGUCCGUUGCUUUAAGAAGACGCUAGGGAGAGUACCAACUGAAAAUGUUAAACCAAAAACUAAGAGAUAUGUCUCUUUAAGCAAUCAAUCUUCAUCGUGUGCACACUCAUUCCACAACAUCGAACUCCAUUGCCCUGCGCCGCCUGCCCUGGAACGAUACCUUCCGUCUCCCAUAUAAGCGAAUGAUUAAGUCGUCAAUUGACGUUAAGAUAUUCUUUGGUCACCCCUUCGAGCGAAGAAAUUGUAAUGCAUUACAUUAACUUGAAGUUCACAUCCGUGUUAGGGAAGCGCUUUUUCGAUGGCCAAUUUUGUGCAUUCUAGAUACUUGACCUUUCCGUCGGUGUUUGCUUAUAAUUACUUCCAAAGUCUCCAAUAUCUCUCUGCGUUUUGUUAACUUUUACGUUAUAUUUUCGAGAUUAUUGAAAUAGUAGUUUAUGCAACAAGUUGCAAAAAGAAGAUUUUUUCAGCACGUGUCGUACAUUUAUCCAACGAGGUUCACCGAGUUGGAUAAAUACGACAAGUGCUGAAAAAAUCAAGGUUUGCAACGAGUUCCAUACAACAUUUUUUGCAUUUCUGAAAAAACACCCAUUGAAUGAAAUUAUAAGUCGAAUGUUCAUGUAUUUUGUCAAUAAAUCGUUUAAAUCAUUUUUUUUUGAAAAGUAUUACUUUUCAAAACUAGUGCUGAAAAGUUCAACUUUUCAGCAACCAUUUCAGUGCUGAAAAGUAGAACUUUUCAGCAUUUGUUUUGA